rnacentral:rRNA from 1 species
GACGAACGCUGGCGGCGUGCUUAACACAUGCCAGUCGAACGGAAAGGUCAUGCUUUUGCGGGGUGCUCGAGUGGCGAACGGGUGAGUAUCACGUGAGUAACCUGCCCUUGACUUUGGGAUAACUUCAGGAAACUGGGGCUAAUACCGGAUAGGAGCUCCUGCUGCAUGGUGGGGGAUGGAAAGUUUUGGCGGUUCGGGCUGGACUGGAAGCUCAUCCGCUUGUUGGUUGGGUAGUUGCUUACCAAGGUUUCGAAGGGUAGCCGGCCUGGGAGGGUGACCGGCCUCAAUAGGACUGAGGGACGGCGCAGACUGCUACGGGAGGCAGCAGGGGGGAAUAUGGCGCAGUGGGCGGAAGUCAGUUGCAGCAGCGCUGCGUGCGGGAUGACGGCCUUCGAGUGGAAAACCGAUUUCGCCUGUGACGAAGCGUGAGUGACGGUAAUGAGUAAAGAAGCACCGGCUAACUACGUG